GCACACCAGCUGUUUGGCGCCUCACUGCUGUGUGCCCACGUCCUCAAAGAGAAACAAAUCCUACCGUGGACAGACUUUCCACCGUUUCGCCAAAGAGCAGGCACUUCGGCGUGAAUGAAUUAAUCACAUCAAGAGGGAUCCUGGUCCAUAUUUCAAGAUCAACGCUGAGACCGAGGUUUGAUCUGAGCACGUUGAGAAGCAAUGCUUUGUUAAGGUCACCCGUGGUAUGACAACGCUAAUAAAGGAUGCUGUGCCUGCCAACUUUGUUCGAGCCAAAGAGGAGAAUCAUCAUUCGCAUACCGUGUAUGGAUUCCAUGGAGUAUUCCAUCGAGUAUUUCUUCUGUUUCAAUCGUCUUGGUGAAGUUUUUGAGCUGGAUCUGGAUUCUGCUGAGGAUCCGUCGACUACUAGAUGGCGAGCCACCCACUCAUUCGAUUGUGAUCCUGUUCUACAUUGCGCAUGGCAUAUUUGGUAGGAUUGUGGCCUGCUCGUGUCACAUCACUGACUAUGACUGACUUCAACGCCUUGAACUGAACUGCUUGAAAGGAGCUAUUUUUCUUUUUGAACAACUUAAAGGAACUCUCUACAUCGUCUCUUUUGAGGAUUUAAAGGACUAUUUCCAAUUUUUGAAGGACAAUUCAAAUUUUUUUUUUU